rnacentral:tRNA from 1 species
GCCUUCGUGGUGUAACAGUAGCACACUCUGGGCGUAUUCGAAAGGUCCAGGUUCGAAUCCCGGCGAGGGCA